UGUAUAAGUUUUACAAUGAGCU
rnacentral:siRNA from 1 species